UACAGAGGUGGCAAGCGUUGUUCGGAAUUACUGGGCGUAAAGGGCGCGUAGGCGGCCUUCUAAGUCAGACGUGAAAUCCCCCGGCUUAACCUGGGAACUGCGUCUGAUACUGGGAGGCUAGAGUGCGGGAGAGGGAUGCGGAAUUCCAGGUGUAGCGGUGAAAUGCGUAGAUAUUGGGAGGAACACCAGUGGCGAAGGCGGCUACCUGGACCGGUUCUGACGCUGAUGCGCGAAAGCGUGGGUAGCAAACAGG
rnacentral:rRNA from 1 species